rnacentral:lncRNA from 1 species
AGGACACUGUUGGUCAAUACGAGAGUCACACUGCUUUCACUCUUCCCGGUCUCUACCGUGUUGUUCACGGAAUUGAUGUGUUUGAUCCUAAAUUCAACAUUGUGUCCCCUGGUGCCGACAUGAGCAUAUACUACCCUUACACCGAGGAGAAGAAGAGGUUGAAGCAUUUCCAUUCCGAGAUCGAACAACUUCUUUACAGCAAAGUUGAAAAUGAAGAGCACUGGUGUGUGCUAAACGACCGCAACAAGCCAAUUCUAUUUACAAUGGCAAGGCUGGAUCGUGUUAAGAAUUUAAGUGGACUUGUUGAAUGGUACGGGAAGAAUGCUAAGUUGCGUGAAUUGGUUAACCUUGUAGUUGUCGGUGGAGAUCGGAGAAAAGAGUCCAAGGAUUUGGAAGAGAAGGCUGAGAUGAAGAAGAUGUUCGAGCUCAUUGAGAAGUACAAGCUGAACGGUCAGUUCAGAUGGAUAUCAUCCCAAAUGAACAGAGUUAGGAACGGUGAACUUUACCGUUACAUUUGUGACACAAAGGGUGCCUUCGUACAACCCGCAUUAUAUGAAGCCUUUGGGUUGACUGUCGUUGAGGCCAUGACUUGUGGUUUGCCGACAUUCGCAACUUGCAAUGGUGGACCUGCCGAGAUUAUCGUUCACGGUAAAUCCGGCUUCAACAUUGAUCCUUACCACGGCGACCAAGCUGCUGAGAUCCUUGUCGACUUCUUCGAGAAAUGCAAGACAGACUCAUCUUACUGGACCAAAAUCUCUGAGGGAGGUUUGAAACGUAUCGAAGAGAAGUAAGCACUCAUUUUCUUCAUUUCCUCGUUUCUUUUUGCUCAAGCCAACUCCUGUCAUUGUUCUUACAUACCUGCAAUGGUUCUGAUCAGGUACACAUGGAAAAUUUACUCUGAGAGAUUAUUAACCUUGACCGGUGUCUACGGGUUCUGGAAGCAUGUGUCCAACCUCGACCGCCUCGAGAGCCGUCGUUACCUUGAGAUGUUUUACGCUCUUAAGUACCGUAAGCUGGUAAUUCUCAUGCCCCAUUUCUUUUUAUCCAGUUUAAAUACGAAUGACUUGCAUUGUUAAUGUUUUUAUAACUGGUUUUCGCAGGCCGAAUCGGUACCUUUGGCAGUUGAAGAGUAAAUUGAAGUUGCCGGGGAAAGAAUUGGGAGGGAUUUCCGAGUUCUUGAGAAUAAUCUUUGUUGUUUUGGCAUUUUGAUCCAACUCUUUUGUUUUCUCUGUUCUUUUAUGUGUAUUUGUCUUUGUUCAUGUUUUGGGCAUUGUUUCAACAUCUGGGCGUUGAGCCCAUCAAUUCUAGUAAAGUAAAACAUGGCAACUUUUGCUUCACAUGUUUCAUCCCUUUUAUGCAACAAAUUAAAGCUUGCAUCAUAUAUGUAGAAGCUGAAACAAAUCGCACAUGGUGAGGCUUCGAUUAUCCGCAUACCAAAUCAGGCACUACAUGGUAUAAUAACACAUUUAGUCCUCAAUAUCUUUACGUUUAUAAAUUCUAUCAAUUUAAUCCUUAAGCUUUUAAACCAAAAUUUUCAAUUUUUGAAAACAACAGAGAACGGAUAAUUACUAUAACUUUAGAUUCAUACUCGUAUACCCAAUCCUUCAAGUGAAAAAUAUUCUAGCCAUAUAAAUAAUAUUAGCUCUGUUAGGUUAUAUGGCUUCAGCUGCAAGCAGAAAUCAUAAAAGUCAAGGUGUUAAACAAAAAAUGAUAAUCAAACCUAUGUUCAGAAGACAAUUAUAUCGAUUGGAUAAACACAGUAGGAAUGAGAAGAAGGGGCCGACCAAGUCAAUAACAUAAUUACGUAUGUUGAAUGACUAAAUUAAAUAAAGAAGAUAGAAUGGACAAUUUUCCUACAAUUGAUGUUGCAGCUUUUCUUGAACCUAAACUGCAUUUAUGUUGAAUAACUAUAUAUAUAUAUAUUCAGCAUUUAUUAAAUCCACAAACAACUAUAGUUAAUAUAUGUUGUCAAUAGUGAGUUUAACAGAUUGUCGGUGUUUGAAAUUAUACUUGUUCAUAUUCGAUCCGUCUUUGAAAAUGAUUUACAUAAAGUGUCGGAUACUAUAGGCCUUUAAUAAGCACACUGUUGAAUUUGUCUCUUUUAUUUAUAAAAAUAUAUAUAUAUUUAUAUAUUACAUAAUUUAAAUGAUUUAAGUAAUAAUUUAUUGUAUAUUCUUAAUCUUUUAUAUUCACGUGAGAUUUUAAAUUUUUAGAUAUUAAACCUGUAUCAUAUAUAGAAUUAAUCUUUAUAUGUAUAUAAAUAUAUAACAUAAAUGAAAUGGAGGUGUGUUUAUAUAAAUUAUGAUUAAAAUAUUAAAUAAUAUUUGAAAAAUAGAAAUGAUUGGGUCAAAUUUUUUGCACUAUUAAAAUAAAAUUUGACCCACAUAGUUGUUAAAAGCCAAAAUUUAGCAACUGUAUCAUUGAAAAGUUUGGAAAAAAAAUUUGUUAAUUAUUUUUUGUAUUUAUGAAAACAUUGUGUGGAAUGGUGGAAUGGGAGGGGAUCAACAUAUAAAUUUUGUUUUUUUAAUUUUAUAGAUGUGAAAUGUUCCUGUUUUAAAAGUUGAAAGUUUUGGUUAGGAGAUUUGAAGAUCAAAUUGAUAGAAUUUGUAAAUGCGAAGGGUUAAAUUUAUUGAAUUAUUUUGAAUUAGGAUCAAAUUGAUAGAAUAUGUAAAUAUUAGGCCUAAAUGUGUUAUUAUAUCAAUUAAGAAAAGGCUUUUAAUUAUCAAUUUAACAACGAGUGACCAAAAUAGGAACGAAUUUAAACGUUAAUGCCUAAAUUGAAAAAUUUUAAAAUUAGGUAACCGAUACAGGAACGUAGGCCUAAUUGAGUGAUCAUUUAUAAAGUUUACUGUUUAUUAUUUUUUCUUCUUUUAAUUUUUUUUAAACUAGAACAAAGAAGAACAUUGUGAUUGUAUUUGUUGUCAUGUUUUAAACUUAGUUAAGCUAAAAAGAUAAAAAAAAACAACGUAACAAAUUUCAAUUAAUUCGAUUAAUUGAUCGAUUUAAUUAAAAUUAAUUUGUUUUAAUUCAUGAAUUUUUUAAAAAAAAUCUAUUUAAUUAAUGAUUUAAUUAAUUCGAUUAAUAAGAAUUCAAUUCAAAUAAUAAUCUGACUAUUUAAAUUCCAUUAAGAAUUCAAGUGGAAUAUCUCAAUACUAGAUUAUUAGUACUUAAUUUAUUUAUUUACAUAUUUUUAUUGUUGGAUAUAGUUAUAUUGUAUAACUUUUUAUAUUUUUUCCAUGCAUUUUAAAAUUUAUAUCUAUAUACUUUUAUCUAAAUAUAUAAUGCUAAAUCACAUGCCAGAUGUGGAUAAUCAAUAAUUUGCUUAAUUAAUCACAUGCAUUUCAGCAUGAUUUAAAUCCUAACUCUCAAUAUAAUUAUAAUAAAACAUGUCAUAAUCCGACUUCAAGUUCAACCCGAAAACUCCAUAUAUAGAGAGAGAUAUCUAAAGACCCCUUUUGGGGGUGGCACUCCAGACAUUUCACUCUAUGAUUUUCUUCUUCUCUGUUUCGUCAUCAAAAAACCCUCCUCUCCUCCAUUUCAGUUGAUACGGUGUUUCAAAACUUACGUAUUUAUUUAUUUAUUUAUUUUUAUCUAUAUUUUUUGAAAACAUCUCGAUUCUUCUAUUGUCUUUUUAAAAUAUAUAUAUAUAGCAAAAUAGUAUCGUGUUCCAUACAAGGAAUCAACUUACAUUACCAUCCAAAAUCAUAUUUCCAAUUCUGUCAUUUUAAGUUGAUGUAAUAUGGACAAGGAAGAGAUAUAAAACUCAACAAAUUCAUGUCUUGUUGUCAUUUACACAACAUAAUUAUGUUUAUUAUUACAUAAAUUUUGAUUUAAUGAUUAUUAUUCGUAUACAACAUAUCCAAAUCCAUUGUUUUAUUGGAAACUAAUGGAACACAAAGCCGACAUAUCUUACUUAAUUACAAAUCAAACACUAAAUUCUUUCUAUCAUUCAAGGAAUGGAACUUUGUUCUUGUUUUUCCUUUUAUUUUUUUGACUAAAUUAUUGUAUUUAUCCUAUGUAUAUUGCGACUCUAUGAAUUUAUACCACAUCAAUCACUAACCAUAUUGUUUGUAUUGGUACUAGUUAAAUUACAUUUUGCUUCUUUUAUUAAAAAAAAUGAGCAAAUUAGUUCUUUCAGUUAAAAAUUUCAUCAAUUUCUAGGUUAAAAGCUGGCGUGAUUGACAACUAUACAAGUCCACACGGCAUGCAACGCGUACCUCAUAACUAGUGGCGAAAUUAGGGGGCCGGAAUUGAAAAUUUUAAAUUAAUAAAGGUAAAAUUACACUUUGGCCUCCUUAAAAAUAUAAAAAUUUGAUUUAAUCCUUUAAAAAUUAUAAAGAUAUAUAGUUUAUUAAAAUGGUGAAAUUGUAUUUUUUUUCUAUCGUAAAAAUGAUAACUUAAUCUCGACCACCUAAAAAAUUUUUCUGAUUUCGCCCUCACUCAUAACGACAUACGGGGUCAAAUUUUAACAAUAAAAAAUUAUUAAUGUAUUAGACUCUUUGCGCCAUGUGAAAUAUAGUAGCAUAAUAAAUAUAUAAAUAUCAAAUAUGAAUAAAUUGAAUAUAUCUAUUAAAGGGGGCUAAUUGAUUAAGACAAAGAUUAUGAAGUUGAUAACUAAAAGAGGGGUUGUUUAUUUAGGAUGGAAAACAAGUUAAGUAAGCAAUAUUUUGAUGAGAUAUUCACAUGGGAAGGGUAUGGGGUCUUGAUUUGAGGCUUAUUUUGAUAUGUUGAAUGGUACAUGUUUUCUGGGACAUCAUUUUGAUUUUGAUUCGUUUCCCACGUGUCAUUGCUCAAAUUAUUGUUUGCAAAAUUUUGAUCAUAUUACAAACUUUUAUCUUUAAAUUAAAAUUAUUUUAAUUUCCUAUAAUUUAAUUCUUAAUUCAAAUAGUUAAAAUUGUUUAUUAUUGUGUGACCUGAAUCUCGUCACUUGUUGAAGAAAUAAAUACAGUGACAAAAUAAGGAGAUCUGUGGGGGCAAGAGGCUGAGGACCAUAUCGCACAAGUUGAGCUCGUAUAGAACCAUACUUUUACUAUUUGACUUUGAUUAGAACAGGGUUUUUCGACCCUAAAAUAGACGUAGUUGAAACUCCUAUUAUAUCAUUCGUUUUUCAACAUUAGUAAAUUUCUUCUCCUCUGCCCGUGAUUUUUCCCUAAAGGGUUUCCACAUCAAAUCUGUGUGUUCUUAUUUUCUUUUCUUAUUGCUUUACUAUCGCUCUACCAUUAUUAUCGACGUUUGUUAUAAUAUAUAUAUAUAUCUAUAUCUAAUUUAUUAUGUUGAGAUGAAUAUUUUUAUAUUGAAAUUGGUGCUUUUAAAGUAAAAUAAACCACUUCUGUAUCUAAUCAUAAAUAAUUAAUAGUAAGACUAAAACAUUAAAAACAUAAAAUCAAUUAAAGUAAAAUGAUUAAAUAUCAAAUUUGAGAAUAGUGAAAUGAUCCCAACCAAUUAAAAAUUGUUUAUUUAUUUAAAAUUUUCCAGUAUAAUACUAUAAAAAUGUAAUUAAUGUGUUAUUUUCUUGAAUUUAGUAUAAACAAAUUGAAAUUUCUAGAACCUUUUCUUUUAUAAUUAAUAUAUUUAUAUAAUUAUGAUUAAAGUUAAUUAUUAUAAUAUAAUAGUUUAAAUUAAAAUAAAAUAUUAAUAAAAAAAAUUCACACAUAAUAUUUAUAUCUAAAAUAUUAGUAGAGGAAAAAGAUGGACCCUUUUUUAUACUUUUGCUACUAUAAAUACAAAUUAAAUACAAAAGUUUCACCUUCCACAAAUACAAGGAUCAAAAUCGAAUAAUAAUAAUAUGUAGUAAAAAUUAAUUUCAUAUUAUAUAUUUUAUAAUAAAUUGUUUUAAUCAGUUAAAUAAUAAUUUUAAUUACAUCAAAUUAAUCGAAUUAUAAAAACCAUGCCAAACCCAUCAUGCCAAUGAAUAAUUUGACUUGAGAGAUUAAGUUGAAAUUAGACUUGAUCAUGGGUCAGGUUAUCUUCUUAGGCUCGAAGGUUCACUCUGAAAGUGAGGGUAUUUAGGUAAAAAUAUAGGCUCGAGAAAUGGGCUUAGACAAAAAAUAAGGCCCGUUUUUUAAAUGAGUCAAACCUCGGGUAAGAUUUUUUGGCCUGGCCCAAAUUUGCUUACAUUUUUUUCGCUUUUAUUUACUGCUAUUUUACUAUUGUUUGCUACUGAUUUGUUAUCAUUUUGCUACUAUUUUGCUGUUAUUAUUUGAAUAACUCUUAUUUUAUUAUUAAUUUUACUGCUAUUUUGCUAUUAUUAAUCUUGUUUUGAUGUUGUUUUAUUAUCAUUUUGCUAUUAUUUGAUGUUGGCUCGAGUUUAACAUUUUUUAUUUGGGUCGAACUUGGACAAAAUUUUAGACUCAUUUUCAGGCCAGACUGAACCCAGACCUAGAAAACGAGUUUGAAAUUUUGGAUUAGCCUAGCUUGAACCCGGCCCAACUCAUAAUCAAGUUUAGUUCCAACUCAAAUUUUAUUUCAUAUAUCAAAUUAAAUUACAAUCCAGUAAUUUCUUUUUAUUUCCAAGCUCAGUUCACUAUUAAAAAUUAAUAUUGAGUCUAAACAAAAAAAAAAAAGUUUUGGCUACUUAACUUCAAAAAGUUACAAAUGAUCAAUUUAUUAUUCGAAAGUUUGUAUUUAAGUACUGGGUUGUUAGCUUUUUUUUCUUUCUUUCUUUUAAAGUCCGGCUAGCAAAAAGCGACAAUUCGAUGAUUAGUAUGAUAGAUCAGCACCCAUCGACGAGUAGAAGAAUAUACUUUAGAUCCAAAUCGGUUUGACGAUCAAUAUUGGAGAUUAGAGAUGAAAGCUAUUUGAAUUUUGGUCACAGAUUCGUGGCAUUCACAUACAGUUGUUUCACAGAGAAGGUUAUACAAUAACGAUUUUAACAAGCUAUUGAUAUAAAUGAAAACUUUCGAAUAGCAAUAACCAUUUUAUAACUUUUAAAAAUUGAGUGACCAAAACAUAAGCUUACUAAUAAUUUAACGAACUUAAUUAAUUGAUUGUAUUUUACCCGUAUUUAUUUACUUAAAUAAUAAUUUAAAUCAAAUUCAAUUCAGUUACACUUUUUUGUAUGAACUCAACCCAAUAAAAUGGAAGUGGUGGAAACUAUAGCCAAUCGAGUCGGGCGAGCUACUCAGCUUAAUUUCACAUAUAACAAAAAUGAUUAUAAAGUGUUAAUAUUUUAUAAUUUCCAUGGCAGGUGAGGGUAAAUGCCAGUUUCUAACUAGAAAAAUGAAAAAGGUUGAGAGUAAAGUUGAUAUAUCAAACACUGGAUUAAGAAUCUUCUGAAAGAAUAAGAAAAUAAUUAAGAAGGGGAUCAAUAAAUUUGGAUUUAACUCAACGUAUUCGAAACCCUUUUUCCACACUCUUGCACAUGUCUGACGUUAUCAUCUCACUAUUUUCUUCAAUAAAAAUAUUUAACAUUAAUUAUAUUUUUUUAUAUUAUUAAAGCAAGCUACAUCGAGAAUUCAAGUAUUGUAUACGUCAUUAAUCCGAUCCUUUGUAGAAACUACCUGUAAUAACGAGUUUGUAAAAUGGGUCUAUUUAUCAUAAAGAGAAUUGUUGCUUCUGAUAUUGCUUCACCUUAAUAGUUAUUUGAAUAAGUUAAAGUUAUGGAAUUUUGAGAACUCAUUCGUAUACGUCAGGAGUCCAUUUGAUAUUGUUCAUGAAAAUUAAUUCUUUCGAGAUUCUGUAACUAUCUCUUCCAACAAUAUCGUUUCCAAGAUUCGAACUUGCGUUCUCUCUUGAAAAUAUAAUAUGUCUUACCACUGUACUCGACACUUGAUUAAUAUAAUUACAUAAAAAUAUUUAACAAUAUUAUAUAAUUACAUGUAUGGUAAUCACGAAACCUUUGAUUCCAUAUAUUAUAUUCUAGUGAAGUCUUGUUCUUGAAUUUAUUAUCCUAACUAUAUCUUCUUUUAAAUUACGAUAUUUAUGUGUAUUCUAAAUUUUGUUUUGAAUAAUUUUAAAACAUAAUCGAACCUAUAUCUUCCUGCAUUGAUAAUAAGGCUCAUACCAAUUAAGCUAAAACUCAAUCGACAUGUGUAUUCUAAUUCUAAAUCUCCUAACAUUUUAUUAAAUUCAUAUAAUUUAUAUAAGAAACCAUAUUCUCUUUUAAUUGGUUACAUUAGUGGUGAUUUCUUUCUUUAUAAAUUAUCUUUUUGGUGGUUGAAUCAUUUGUUCUAAAAGAUGCACACAACAACCUUCUAGUUGGUAAGUAAAAUUUUAAGAACCAAAUAAAGACAAAAGCCUCUCACUCAUUCUUACCUUCAUUCUCUAAAAAAUGAUUCCUCUUGUGGCACAAUCCCAAGUGUAAUUGGAGGUGGUUAUACCUAUUCAUGAGUAAUAUUAUUUCUGAUUAGAUUAGUGUUGUUGGAAUUAAAUCUGAUUAACUCAUCGUAUCAUUUGAAUCGAAAAUUGGUUAGUAUAUCAGUUCGAAUAAAAAAUUAAAUUAAUUUUAAAGUAAAUUGUUUUAGAAUAUGUUCAAAAUAAAAAAAAAAUCGAGAUAAAAAAAUCGGUGGUUGAAUUGAUUUAUAAUUUUUCUAAUGAUUUUAAUUUUCUAUUAAUUUUUCUGAAAAUUUUAAUUGUUCAUUUUAUAAUUAUUGGAUGGAUAAUCAAAAUUGGUAGUUUAACUUUAACGUGGACCGGACCGAUCAACUUAAAACCUUUCCCCAACUCCUUUAUAAACGAGCCGUCUUCCUCUUUUCUUAGCUCACAAGCACCCUCUUUCUCUGCUACGGCUCUCCAAAAACUCUUUGGGAAACCCUUAAACCUCUCCCCCCAUAAGAAAAGCAAUGGCCAAAGGCAGCAACAAGCUAACCAAGCUCUUAUCGGUUCUAAAGAAGCUUAAUUCAUUCAACAGCAAGCAAAGCCGCACCCCCACGUCAACCGCCGCGGUGGCGGCUUCCGAUAUCAUCUACAACGAAGAAAGCUCUGCCGAUCUCCACCCUGUCUACGUUGGGAAAUCCCGUAGGCGGUACCUUAUUAGCUCCGACAUUAUCGACAACCCUUUGUUCCGGGAGCUCGCCGAACGGUCCGGUGAAGACGAUGACGCCGUCAUCAACGUGUCGUGCGAGGUGGUUUUGUUCGAACACUUGCUUUGGAUGCUCGAAAAUGCUGAUCCUCAACCCGAGUCUUUGGAAGAGCUGGUUGAGUUUUACGCUUGUUGAUGGUACGGACCGUAAUUCGUAAGUUGUACAUUGAUCAUGUAAUAAUAAAAUGAAAUUUAUAGGCGAUGUUAGAAGAUAAGAGAUGAGUUAGUUUCAACGACGAGGAUUUAACCGAGUUCUCGCCGGCAGCCUGGUGGUGGUGGGGGAGAUGACAUUUUGUGUAUCAUUGUUGUUUCAUUGUCGUUUAAUCAUGUUUCUUUUUCUGAUUUAUACAAGAGAUUAAUAUUUCAUUUUUCUUAUGAUGUCGAAAUCAUAAUCACUCAAUCCUUGGGUGAAAAAAAAUCUUAAUCCAAACUUAAUUUAAUAAUGCUUGAAAAAAAGAGAGUAUAUUACAGCAAAGCUUUGGGCUCCAGCGGCUUUCGUGUUUGUCUUCCAGAUUUGACGAUGUCUUGAAUACAAGAAUUUUUCGAAAAGAAUUAUUAAAGUGUUGGGGUUUGAACUUCAAAAGCCGUCAUUUCUUUUCGUGAUUGUGCGUCCAACUCGAUGAAGCCCUCUCAUUUUAUGAAUUCAUCAUAACCUGUUAAGAUAUUUGGACUCAAUAAAUUAUAAUAUUAAGGUUCAAAUGACCAAUGAUGGGGUUGUUAGAGAUGCUUUGUUUUUUUAGAUAGACAGUGUUAGUUCCGUUGCUUUUCGUUUGCUGACAAUAGGGGUAUCAGGUUUGUGUGUAUAAAAUAUAAAAAAGGUGAAUUAAAUAUAUGUAUGAGAGCGGUGGGGGAAGAUUUUGGUAAGUGGAAGACACGAAAUCCUUUCUUCUUUUAACACGCAUUAGCAUCGACGCGUUUGCCAAGCUGCCAUGGCCAUGCCACUCUUAAAACCUUCAAAUCUGCUGCUUAUUUUUCCAUUUUUCGAAUUUUUUUAUUUUUAUAAAAUAUUUUGCUCCUUACCUCUGUUGUUAUAAUAAAAUUGUUUCUCUAUCUGGGCUACUAACUUAAGCUUUUAAUAAGUUUCGUUUAUGUUGAGUUCAGAUCACUUGAAUGUGACGUUUUUGACAAACCUAGAAACAUGAGUCGAGUAGGGUGAUAAGACUCCUAAUCAAAUUGCCUGAAGUGAUUAGAUAAGCUUGAAAGUUUUUUUUUUUUUUUUUAUCUCUUGAGAGAGUUUUGGAGAGUUUGAAGAUAGAUUAAUGAAUAUUGUUAUGUGAUAAAUACUUAGGAUAAUUAGCCGCUUGAAGAGGCCUAUAAAUAGGUUGUUUUGUGCUGCACAUCAAGAAUAGUUUUGGACUGUAUUUGUCGACAGCUUUGUCGUGUUCUUAUGAUUAUUUUGUGACACUUUUUUUUAUUGUAUUGUGAGGUAUUUGAUUAAGUGAUUUGUGACAAUUGGAGUUGCAAUCACUUCUUUGUGUAAGGGUAGACUGGCUUAAGCUAAUAGAUUAUUCGAAUGGUUAUUGAAGAAAAUCAUUCAUAAGACAAGAUUUCAUGAACGUAAUACCGUUGUGUCUAAAUUGUGUUAACAAAGACUAGUUAUGUCAAUUCUUUUCGACUCUUAUUUUUUUUGCUACUUGUUUUCGUUUUAACUGUUGUUACCCCAAAUGUUAAACAAAGUUGAUUUAUCAUACCUAAAGAGUUGAAAUUAAAAUUGGUUUUGUAUUACUAUUACCAAGUCCCUAAUUGAGUUGGUGUCACGAGCCAAUUGGACACGAACUCAAUCAUGGAACUUACGAAAAUGUCCUUACAUAAUUAAAAAAAAUCAUAUUAUUCAAUGGUAUUUUAGUUUUUUUUAAUCCAAUACGAAAUUUGCAUGUGGCCUGUGCUAUUUACAUUAAUAAAAUAUUAACUUUGCCAUUAAACCAAAGUUUUAUUUUAAUAUAAUAUUUUCAUUUUAAUUGUAUUAUGUAUAUUUUAUUACUUCCUCCAAUUGUAUAUGUUAAUAAUGUUUUUGAUUGAAUUGUUGUCAUAAGUCAACUCAACACUAACUCAAAAUUGACGAAAACAACAUGAUAAACAAUUGUACGUGUUUAAAUUCAUUUUACUCAAUUUAAUUUAUUUUUUCAUUUUACAUGUGUAAUAGAAUUUCUACACGCGUUGUACUUUUCAAAAGAGAAUUCAAGUUUAAAACUUGACUAUACUUCAUUAGGAGAACUAUAUAAAAUUAGUAGUUUAAUUUAAGCUUUUUUUUUAAAUAUAAUUAUAUCAACAAGUAAUUAAAAUAAAUAUAUUAAAUGUUAUUAUCAGAAUCAAUUAACUCAACUCGAAUUAACUCGUCUAAUUUAAACUAUUAAAAUUUGAACCUCAAACCUCAAUCUUACCCUUAAUAACAAUCAUUUAAGACAAAUAAACCUAAUUUGAAUAUAUAUGUCUAAUUGUGUAACUUGCUUUUUAACAUGUACCCACAUUGAUUUUAUUUAGACCAAUCCCUAAUUACCAACCACUUUUACUUCAAUGAUGAUUAUAAUGUUGAAUACUUUUUUCUUUUUGUAAAAUAUUAUCCUUACAAGAAUUCGUUUAGAAUGAUGAAAGGAUAUUAGGGCUGAUUAAGUUUGGUUUCAUUAAAGCUGUGAAUAUUUUAUUGUACUUAAAAUCAUUCAUAUAUAGUCUCUUUUAAAUUUAUAAAUAAGAGAAUGUUACGUUUUUGUGCAUUCGAAUUCACGUUAUCUUACAUUAAUAAUAAUACUCAUGUCAAUCGAAUUAAAACUUAAUCAGUAAAGCUGUGAUUAUUAAAAUAAAAUUAGAAAUUAAAAACUGUUUUCCAAAGAAUUAUUUAGAUUACAAAUUAAUAAAAAUUAAAUUUAAAAAUACAUGGUGUUUUAGUAUUUAUCCACAAAAAUUUGGAAAAAAAAAAGAAAAAAAAUGAAUGUUUGGAAUCCAAGUAAUCCUUAUCACAAAUAAAGUACAUGGCAGCUGCAAGAAUGAUUAUUGUUUUGACUUUUGACGUAAUAUUUCCCAAUUUUAGAAAGAAGAGAAGGUAGAGUUUUAUGGCAGAUUAAGUAACCAGGAAAAUGUAAAUUUGAGUAUAUUAAAGUGUAUUAUUCUCUUAUUUAUUAAUUAGAAGAUUAUAGAUAGUUUUAGAUAUUAUAUCAAAAAUAGUAAAUAUGAUCAAAAUUUAUAAUGAGAUUAUUAAAAAUAAAUAAAUAUUUUAUAUUGUGAAAUGCUAAUGUAUGUGUAUAACAAUUAUAAACAAUUAUCUGAUUAACUGAUCUAACAUUGGUGAAAUUUAAAAAAAGAAGAAGGUCAAUCGUAUUAUUUAUUUUUUAAUCAAUCGAUAUUUUAUAAUAUAUACAUUCGAAUUUAAUUUUGAAAAAUUAUUUAAUAUAUCGUCAGUAAAGUAUUUUAGAUUCCACAAACGGAUUAAAGGUUUGACAAGUGUAUUAUAGGGUGUAGUAAAAAUAAAUAAAUUAUAUAAAUAAAUACGACACUUAUCACACCCUCAAUCCGUUUGUGGAGUCUAACAAAAUCACCGAUGGUGUAUCAAAUAAUUACUCUUUAAUUUUUUUUAAAGAAUUCUUCAUUAUACAUUAUACAUUAUACUAUUAAUUCUUUUAUUUUAAAUAUUUUUAUUAUUUAUCAAAUUUAUAAAUAAAACUCGAGUAUUCAAAUAUUUGGUUAAAUGAUUUCAAUCGACAAAAAAAAUUAUCACACUUAUAAAUAAUUUUAUUAAAAAAGAUUACCUUAAACGAAUAAUCAAAUUUUGACAUUUAAAAAUUAAACUAAUAUAUUAUUUAUUUUUUACUUUUUAGAUUAAUGAAAAAUUAGUACUUUAAAGAUAGGUAUUUAUUUUCUUAUUUAUUAGCAAAUAAGUUAAAAUUUUUUUAACAAAUUUAUUUACAAAUGUGAUCAAUUUUAUUAUCAAACAAGUUGAUUCAACAAAAUAUGUUAUGAUAUUUAUUUAUAAAUGUGGCAAAUUCUUUAAAUAAUAAAAAUACUUUGAAUCAGGUUCAGAAUGAACCUAAAUGAAUUGUAGUCCAGGCUUUUAGUAAUUUAUAUAUUAGGAUUUUUAUGAUUUUUUAUUUUUUAAAAUAUCUUUUAAUAUUCUAAACUACGUUCAUAAUGAAUAUAGAUAAAUGGUUGUUCAAGUUACAUUUGUCUAGCUCAUUUUGGACAUACAUAUUUUAGUCAUGGAUUCGUCAAGUUCAUUACAAGGAGCUUUGUAUGCUGACAGGAUUGCGAGUAUAACGAGUUAAUUGUUAUUUUAGUCGCUUAAAUGCUAUUAUUUUCUAUCAAUUUUUUUAAAAAAUAUUGAUGUGACAUGCCACAUGUUAGAUUCUCAACCAUUUCACUGUUCGUUAAUGGUCAAACCAGCCAAUGACAAUUUUUGUUAAUGGAACGACCUAUUUGAUCUUUUUUUAACCGCUGCCUUAAUUGAGUGCAUUUUGUUUAAUUAAUUUUUAUUUUUUUAUAUAAUUUUUUUACUAAUGGCUUUGUAAUCCUUUUGACUUAUAUAUUAAUAUUUAAUAUAUACAAUUUUAUUAAAAAAAUACAUUUACUUUCAACAAACAUUUUUCAUCCCAUGCACCUGUUUAUGUUUUAAAUUGAAAAUAAAAUUAAAAAAAAUUCUAAGUAUCAUUUUAAAAUAAUUCUCUUAUAAAAAAUUAUUAUUUUAAAAUAAUUUAAAUAUCGAGUUAUGAGGUCUGUGUUACCAUGGAGAAGACUUGGUUGGCCUAUGAAGAAGUUAAAGAAGAAAAAGACAAAGCCCAGUUAGCUACCUUCCAUAAAGAGAAGGUCCAGUCUUCGGUGUUUGCGGGUCUUUAGGGAAAAAUGUAAUAAAAGCAACAAAUGUAGGGUAUGUUUGUCAUUUUGGCAUUGGGACUGAGUCAAGUCAGUCAACUCAGCCAUGGGGCUAUAGUAAAAUAGGGAGAUAGGGACAGCCCACGUGGGAGAUGGUCGUGGCAAUCGGAUUUUAGGGUUUUCAGUUGAUAGCUCCAUUCUUCCCAUCCCCAUGUUACUCCUAGAAUUUUUGUCCCCCCCUUUUAUAUCACUAUAUUAAUUUUGAUUUAACAUUGAAUUUUCACUUGAUGCAUGAAAAAAAACACAUCAUAAUAAAAGUUAUUAGAAAUAAAUAUGAUUAUUGUUAUAAUUUUGUACACCUUGUAUUAUUUAUAAAUAAUUAGAUUGAUUUUUAGCUUAGUUGUAUCGAUAUUGUUGUCAGUGUAGGAGGAUAUGAGCACUCGAAAGCAAGUUAUCCUCCUAUUCAAGAGUUAGAGAGAGAUUAUAAAUAGUUAUAGACAUUAUAUCAAAAAGAGAAAAUGAUAACAACCUAAAUUUUUAAAUUUAAAAUCCAAUCUAAGCUUUAUGCUUUGCCUAGAUCAAGGUCGCACCACACUCAACCACCAUGGUAAGACUAUUGCAUAAUCAAUAUACUUUGUACUUCCAUCGCAUCGAAUAACACAAUUGAUCUAAUGAGAGACUUAAUUGAAUGAUAGCUCGCAAAUUAAGAGAAGGUAUGUAGUUUAUGAGUGCUUUUCUCAAAUCUCUCACUAAACUCCAUAACAACGAACUAGCACAUUACCACUAAAAUAUACCUCUUCUCCCAAGGCUUCAAAUCUCUCUACAAUUCUCUAUGUUUCUUCACAUGGCUCUCGAUCUUUUAAAUAAACUCUCAUAUCAACCUCCUUUAACUUUUAUUUCUCAAUAAAAUCGAACUCUAUUAUAGCAAACAUUAUAUAUUAAUGUAAGUUGUAUGUUUAUUUCUUACUAAAAUCAUAUUAAUUAAUUAAUGUAUUACUGAGUGUAAGUUGAUGAUAAUGAUCCAAUAAAGAUUAAAGGACUUUUAUGAGAGUUUUGGAAUAUAUGUUUUUAAUUUUUCGUCCUAAUUAACUCUGAACUUGGCCUGCCAACCCUUGUCCAUGAAUUUGGUCUGUUGGUAUUAAAAUAAAAAGUACCACUAUAUAAUAUAAGAUAUUCAAGCAUAUAAAAGAAUGAUUUGAAGAAUGGGAAUUAAGACAAACAAUACCCACGAGGAGAGAAAAAGAGAGGUGCCCAUGAAUGGACCAUGCAUAUAUGUUUAGGGGACCAACAAAAUAUUUCUAUAUUCGUCAUAAUUGAUUGGCAAUUGAAGGACAACUGCAUUAUGAAGAUAGUUUAACAAAAAAAAGAAUGAAACAUAAGAAGGUGUCGAAAGUAACUUCUGAGGCCUGUUCCGAUGUAACAAUCAAUAAAGAAGAGUGGUAAGAUAUUAUAAAAAUUCAGAGAUGGCCAUUCUUCUGUAAUAGUUAGAAAUGAACAUUUGUGUGAACCCUUAUACUUAAUAUAUCCAUAUAAUAGGCGCUUUUAGAAGACACCAAGUGAGCACCUGAAGACGAUCCUCACUUCCCGUUCUAGCUAUGGUCAAGUCACUCGCUUUUCAUUGUGAACACUCUUCCAAGAUUAUUGGGAUCCACUUGAGCAUAAUAACCUCGUACUCCCUCAAAAAGAAUAAUAGAAUGGGCCCCAUCACAUAUAUCCCCCACGCAUUCCAUAAUGUUAACUGCCUUACCACGCCACCACUACCAAACAAAAGGACUUCCCCUAUAAAUACCUUCCAAAACGAAAGAAAAGGGACCUUCUCACCCUUUAGCAAUCUUGAGCACUUAGUACUCCAUGUCGGUCCUCGCAAUAACCUUCUUCCUCUUGUUUUCUUCUACUUUCCGCAUGCUUAAUUUAAUCGACCUCCUUUACACUACCACUUUCUUCUUUUUAUCUCCUCCUUUAUUGAAACUUGUAUAACACAAUUAAUACCUACAUUAUUGUAAUUCAAAUCCAUAUAUAGUUGACAUGAAGCAACUUGUGUAAUGUUGAUAAUGUUAUAAGGGCCCCGUUUCUCAUUGGAGGCAAAGAACAGCAAAAGAACCUGAUGAGUUGGAUACCAAAUUUUGCAUGUUAAAGUGAAGGCAAAGGGAUGUAUGAUGAUUUAUUUAUUUAUGGCCAUCGUUUUGUUAAAAUAUCCCAAUAUAUAUUUUGUAUAAAUAAGGCAAAUCCCUAACCAGUCUUUGUAUUCUUGCAUGGUAUAAGUGUAAUAAAAUACUAUUUUCAAAGCAAAUCUUUGAUUGUUUGAUCUUCUUCUUCUUCUUUUAAAGAUCCAUCAUUUUCAGAGGUGGAUCAACAAAUAAAUAAAUAAAAUUUGCUUUUGGGACUAAAAAAAAGUUUUUGAAUGCAAAGCAUAGGUCUCUUUCAACAAAUAUUGUAUUUUUAAUUUUGCACACAAACAAUAUAUAUAUGUCCAAUAAAAUCCAAAAGUAGAAAAACCAAUUAAACGACAUGACAUGUGAUGUUCUCAAGUAUGACAUAUAUAUAUCCCCACGAUUCCACCAUGUAAAACUAUGGGUUCUAACAUCAGAAACAAAAAAAGAAGAAGCAAUUUUGUACAAAAAAGAAAGCAAUUAAUUAAGUACCCAUGCAUGAACAUCUUGAUGGAAAUGUUGAAGCUAAAGACUCAUAAUUGAGCCCAUACAUUAGAGAGAGAGUAACCGAUCAGGAGGAGUGGAAGUAUAAAACUUUUUUUUUGGUUUAAAAUGUAAUUUUAUCAUAUGUAAAUUUAGUAAUAUAAAUUGUAAAUGUUGGGGUUUUAAUUGUCAUUGUAUUUGAAGUUUCUCCUCAUGUUCAAAUAACUCCUUAAACAACUGUCUGAAUAGAUUUUUGGACAACAGUAUGGAUAUACCUUCGGAAUAGGUAAGUGCAAUAUAAAGUUCAAAUUUUUUAAUUUGAUCUUCAAAGUGUGUCAUACCAUCAGCAAAUGAUCCUUAGGCUAUGUUUUAUUCUAUCCUUAAUGAUAUUGAUCGAAUUUAGAAGUAAAGAGGAAAAAGGAUCGCUUUUCAUCGUCUCAUACCUAAUCUUAUAAAAAAAAUACCGUUGUGCUUGUGGGAGUACUUUUGACCGGUUAUUUGAAUAUCUUUACUUGGUAUUUUUGCACUCUUGUUUUAGACAUUUUAUUUCAUUGCCAUUUUGAUUUGUAUGUGAGAUUUUGAGUGAGUGAUUUGUAAUAAUUGGGAUCAUUGUUGACCUGCAAUUAUUUCUUGUGUAAGAGUAGAUUAGACUUAAGCCAAUAAGUGAUUUGGAUGAUUAUUGAAUAAAACCAUUCAUUGAGCAGUAGGAUUGUUGAUCUAAACUGCGUUAAUAGAUCUCGUUUGUUGACUUCUCUCAUUGCUUUACUAUCUGUUUAUAAACUGUUGUUAAAUUGUCCUAUUCAAACUUGUGUCUAAACAUCAAGUUGGACAGAGGGUAAACCGAUUUUUACUCUUUCAAUAAUUACACAACCAUAUAAUUUUAAAUUCUAAAAAGAAUAUUAAUUACUAUAAAAUCAUAUCAUAAUAUGUAUUAUGUUAGUAUAAGAAAGUAUUCAACAAUACAAUUACUAAUAAAAUUAAGGCUUAACAGUGUAAAAGCCCUCAAACUUUUUCAAAAAAGCAAUUAAGUCCCUGAUAUGUUUUUUUAAUUCAAUUGGGUAGUUCCAAUUAAAAAAUUAAAAAAACCCGAUAGACCAUCCUCCAAGUAUAUCUGUAGUUCCAAGUCUCGUCCUCCAUUGGAGAUAAAUAGAGGUCUUACCUACACUAGGACCGCCUCCAGUUGAUAUUAUGCUUCCCCAGUAGUUGGUAAAGCUUUCCUUUAUUUUGAAGGCCAUCAACUAACUUGAAUGAAAAUACAAACAGGAUGUAACAUAAGAACCCCAAAAUUCAUAGAAGCAUCGUAGAACAUCUCCAGAAACUUGAGUAACGUACGUGCCUUGUUCCAGUCAUCAAGGGUGGGAGCCCCUUCUGCAAGAGCAUUUAUAAAUUUUGGAUCAUCCUCUCAAAUGUAUUCUGAAGAGCCAGUAUGUUGAAUUCCAUCCUUAUUUAUGUCUUACAAUUUUGUGAUUUUUUUUAUUGAUUUUAAUAUAUAUUUUUUAUCAUUUAGUAGUAGCCAAAAAUGUACAUGGGUUUGGAAGCAAAUGACGCCAUAGAAAUUUUGUAGAAUCGACCUUUGGUCUUUAUAAAGAUGGGUUUGGAAAUAUAUAUGGGCUAUAAGAUGAAAUCAUUCAAAUUUGUGGCUUAAUCACAAACUUUGUAAAGCCCAUUUUAUUAUUCGUAACAAAAAAAAUGAACAUGGGAGUCACUAAAUCAACAUUCGAGUCCGAAGUUUAGGUGAUUUGAAAAUAGAUAAUAAAAGAUUAAAAAAAACAAAUAAGAUUAGUUUGAUAAAAGAGACGAUUUUGAAUUCAACAUUUAAGACGAUUCUUCAUAAUUAUCUAGAUAUUAAAAAUGUAAUACUUACCAACAAAGCUUGGGUUCGAGGAUAAAAAUUAUUGAAGGGAUUUUUGAGGUUUUAAUGUUCAAAUUUUCUCAGAUGAGUGAGCCAUUAAUCCUAUCCCAUAUAAUAUGCUAAUGAUUGGUUUAACAUAAAAUUAAUAUUUGAAGUUCAAAAAAUAUAACACUUUUUUUAUCAAUACAAAACAUUACUAAUUAAAGAAAGAAUGUUAUCACGAAAGCUUAAUCCUAAAUCUCAUCUAUCACCUCUUCCUUAUCUUAUAAUCACCUAUCAUUGUCCAAGCUUCACCUGACCUCAAAAGACCAAACGUACCACUUUUUCGUCUUCUUUUCUCAUGAGAGAAGUACUCUCUUUUUUGAGAGUUCAUGAACAAUAAAAAAAAAUUCAUCUUCUUGAAAAAGCUACAAGUUUCUCCUUUUUUUCACUAUGCUUUUAACACCAUCCAACCUUACGACUCUCCACUCUUCAAUAAUGAACGGUGACUAAAUUCUUAAUCUAAAACUUGUAUAAACAAAUAUAAAAAAUAAAAAUAAAAAAUUCAAGCCUACACUCUCUCAACAUUCAUCCAGUCCUCUGCCUCUAAACUCUCUUCAUCAUCGAUUAGGUGGACCGAGCUCCUCAGCAACCAUUCUCCUCUCCUCUAUACUCUCUCCUUAUUGAGCAUUGUAUCAACACCCCAUAACCAGACUCUUCAUCCUUCUUUACUCCCUUCUCCCUCUCCCAACACUCUCUCUUCUGUCUUUCAUCGUAUCCCAAUUCUCUCCAAAUCACCACACUCUCUAUUUCAUGGCAUUAAGCACUCUUUCUCUCCUUCUCUUUCCAUCCCUUCUUCCUCUUUCAAGUCUUCCAUUUCUGCCAAGGUACAUUCUUCUUUUUAAUUGGUUGAUUUGAUUGGCUAACCGCCCUCAGUGUUUGCUUAUGAUUUUUGGGGGGUUUUGCAGGUCGAGAAAGGUUUAGUGCCUCCAAUAUUCACGCUGAAAGAGCAAGAUGGGAAAAAUUUUAGCCUUUCCAUGUUAAAAGGAAACCUGUUGUCGUCUAUUUUUACCCUGCCGAUGAGAUCCCUAUCUGUACCAAGCAGGUGAUUGCUUUAAAAGCCUUUGUUUACCAGCUUUAAACCUGAGUCCAUGUUGUGUCGUAUCCGUAUUCCGUGUUUUGCGCUGAAAAGCAGUACUUUUUUAGGCAUGUGCUUUUCGAGAUUCUUACGAGAAAUUUAAGAAAUUUGGAGCUGAAGUUAGAGGUUUGCAAAAUUCGGGUAAAACUGAAAAAAUUCGGUUAAUCGACCGAAUUCGGUUAAUCGGUCGGUUAAUCGAAUUUUUUCGGUCAGGGGUCGGUUAAUUAUUUUUUGAUUUUUCGGUUAACGGUUAAUUCAGUUCGAAACCGGUCGGUUAACCGAAUUUUUUCAGUUUAACCGAAAAAAUUAAUAAAUAAAAUUAUAAUAUAUAUAAAUAGCCUCACUAUUCAACUAAAUCCAAUCCAAAACCAAGUAUUCAACCCAACCCAAUUACCCAACCCAACCCAACCCAAUCAUAAAAAUUACAAAUAAUUUAAUAAAUAAAAAUAAAAUUCUAAAGCUAAAACUAAAACUAAAGUCUAAAAAUAAUUUAAUUAUGUAGUGAUUCAAUUUGGUUAAUUCGAUUAAUUCGAGUAAUUCGGGUAAUUCGGGUAAUUCAGUUUAUUUUUAACCAAAAAUAAAAAACAUAUAAUUUUCGGUUAAUUCGGUUAACCGACCGAAUUAACCGAAAAAAUUUCGGUUCAGUUAAUUUUUUUGAAAAAAUUUCGGUUCGGUUAACGGUUAAAGAUUUUGAAAAGUCUGUUAAUUCGGUUAAUGUUAUUUCGGGUCGGUUAACCGAAUGAACACCCUAGCUGAAGUUGUUGGAAUAAGUGGUGAUGAUCCAUCAUCACUCAAGGUAAUAAUAAUACUAAUAGUGUCCAACACACCCGAGUAUCAUGUAAAAUCCAUCUCUUUUGAGAUCUUCUUCUGAAAACAAAGUCAUCUAUGGAAUCUGAAUUCUUAUUAUGUGUGAUCAUUAGAUAUUCUAUUUGUCUAUGUGAAUUUCUGAUGGUGCUCCAUACUGGAUACUUGUUCAUGUUAUACCAUGUCCACCGACCGAUGUUCGUAAAUUAACCGAUGAUCAGCUUGAUUUUUUCAUAUGGUAUUUUGCCAAGAGAUAUGGACUUCAGUUUACGUUGCAGAGCGAUGAGGGAAACAAGGUCAGGCAAGCGUGGGGAGUAGAAGAGGUAAAAGGGCAAACCCCAUAGCCAAUAAUGUGGAACAGUCCAAUGAAGUGUCCUUACCACCAUGGUGCACGGUUGCCCUUCGGGUCCUUCAUGCAACAUGGGAAAUCAAUAUCUUUCUAAUCAUUUUCAAUAUUCACUAAAGAAAAUAAAUCAAUUUCCGUGCCAACUCAUGCCAUUGUCAUCUCUAAUAUUAUUGAGUGAACCACUUACCAGCUCUGGUCUUAAAGUCAAAGUUAAAUAAUAAAACCCUAAUGCGACACAUGCAGAAAUUAUUAUUAUUGACUUUCAAAGGCAAAGACGAACGUUCAUGUCUGUUCUUGAUUUGUUCGUCCAUUUCUUCAAUCAUAAAAGUCUAAAUUGUGUUACUAACCCUACAAAUAUAUAUUAUGAAGAUGCAGUCAUGCAGAAUCCUUAAUGCAUUUGAAAUCAUAGUUUAAUUUUGUUUAAUCAAAGGUAAAUACACUUCUUUGCUACAAACAAAGAAAAGUAUGACGAUUUCAUUUUCCCAAUUUUUGGUUUAGUGGUGUCGAAACCAUUUUUUUAUAUUUCGAAAAAAGGGAUCAACUUUUAAAAUAAAAACGGGAGUCACCAUCGAUCUUUUAUUGUGGUGUGAUCGGAUCACCUUGAAAAUAAUUUUAGGUCUGCGAAUUUUGAGAAAACAGGUUCGGGAGUCGGUUACGCACGAGGAAGGGUUAGCACCCUCGUGACGCCCAAAAUUAGUACCGAAUUGAUUGUUUAAUAUCUUAGUGUCGAAAUUUUGAAAAGAUCUUAAAGUACGAUUCUUUUAACUUGAAUAAAUUGAAUAAUAAAACACUCUUAUUUCAAAGAAAUAAAUCGUCACACUCAGUAAGUUAGAGUGUAACAUUUCAAAUCCUCAAAAUUAUGUUUGACUUUUAAAAUCUAUACAUCUUGAGAAGGGUAUUUGAUUAUUUGGGUCAAAUGAGAAAAUCAAAACCUAGUAAGUUAGGGUUCGAUUUCACAAAAUACCUAAAUAUCGAAUAUUGCCUUUAUUUCCAUUUGUUAGAAAAAUCCUCGUCCCGGGAAAACAACAUGUCCUACCCAAUGCGUUAGGAUACAACGUAUCGAAUUCCCGAGAAUGGGCUUUUUAUUUAUGUUUUAAUAAAAGAAACACAUGGCUAUCUAAUUCAUCGAGACAAAUUGGAACCCAGUAAGUUAGGGCACAAUUCUCUCGAGAAUUAUAAACGCUUGGCCCCCCUUUUUUAAAAUUAUGAAAUAAAAAUGAUUUUUGGGGUUUUAGUGAAACCGAAUAUUUAAAAAAAAUGCAAUGGGAUGUUAACAUAUAACGCAAAACAAUAGGCUAAAGUAUACUAAUAAUCAUCGAUAACCAAUAAAUACGAAUAAAUAAUAUAAUACAUAUGCGGGCAAAAAUAUCAAACACACAUCAUGCAAACACGAAUAUCAACAUUCAAAAUAAAUACUAUAAAAAGAUAAAUCAAAAUGCAUUAAGUCAUGUACAUAUAUUAAUUUAAAUAAAUAGUACAUAUAUAAUAAUAAUGUAUAUAAAAAGAGUAAAACAGAAUAAUUAGUUUAGAAAGAAUAAAAUAUUUGUGCAUAUAAAAAUAAAAUUAACGAUUUGAUGUUAGUAACAUUAUAUUAUAUAUAUUCAAUAAAAUAAUUUUUAUAUAAAUUAUAUAUAUGAAAAAGACCAUGAAAUGCUAUUGUGUUUUUUAAAUCCCAACGAAUAUAUAUAGAUGAAUAUAUGUAUAUAUGAAAAUAUCGAAAAUAGAAUAUUUACAAUAUUUAAGUAAUAAUAUAUAAAAACUUAAGAUAACACCAUAUAAUAAAAAUAAUAUAAGCCAUAAUAAAAUUAGGUUUAUUAUUUGAGAAAUGAUAAUGAUAAUAAGAAAUGAUAAUAAACAAAUUAAUUUGAUAAUAGGAUGACAAAACAAAGGAAAAUUUUUGAAUUAAAACAAAAUCUUAAGUUUGAAUUUGAAAAUAAUGCACAAAUGAUUAAAAUGAGAACCAAUUAAUAUCCAAGGGACUAGUAAAUCAAUUUAACACAAAGUCAAGAAUUCAAAUCUCAUCAGCGAGAACGACGCCAUCUGUCCCUGGAUCUAAAUGAAAUCGAACUCAAAUAUGUGGUGCAAAUUAAAAGAAAUUAAAUCAAAUCAAAUUGAAACAACCCAAAACACAGAAGGGCUUGUCCGCAAAUGGACCAAUAAAAAAAAUGUGCGGAUCCUCCUCGGGUCAGGUCACCCGCGUGGGUUAUAGCCUUAUACGGCGCUGUUUUAGGGCCACUAAGGCAGGCCCUAAACGGUGUCGUUUCAUGCAUCAUAUAAAAACUAAUCCUAAGCUCUAAACCUAAACCCUCAUCAGUCUCCUAACCUAGCCAAAAUGAAGACCCCUUUUCUCUCCAGCACCGCAAUCCCGAAAUCCCAUCCAUCUCCGAUUUCGGACGGAGUCAACGGGCUCCGUUGGCGCGCUCGCGACGGUAAGUUUUCUCUUGCUCUCCCUUUUCUCUUUAGUUUUAUAUAUACUCAUAUAUAUGAUUAAUAACAAAAACAGAAGAAAAAAUAAUCGGAAACAGAAUCGAAAAGAGGAAAAAGAAACCUUUUUUUAUUGAUUUCGUUUUCUCAUAUCAUCCCCUUUUUUUUGUAUUCAAUCUCCAUAAAAAAAAAAGGAAAUGUUCGCAUUGUUUACAUUGGCCCUUUAUAGCCAAAAUUACAAAAAAAUAAAAAAUCCGAUCUGUUAUUUUUUUGUUUUUUCUUUUCUGCGUUUGUUGGCCUAUUGUUGUUGCUUUGCUGUUGCGUUGUCCAUUUUUGUUUGUUGCAGGUAUAGCGUACGGAUGCGUGCGUGGCUGGGGUGACGUGGCGCGGAACGUAUGGAGGCUGGUCGCGGAAGGCUUGGCUGCGGCGCCUGGUCUGUUCCAGAAACCCUAGGGUAUUUGGAAGCUGUUUAGGGCUAUCAGGGUCUGGGCUUAUUGGGCCUAGUGUAAUUGGGUUUAGUGGGUAUUUGGGCCUGUUGAUUUUGGAUUUGUAAAGACUGAUGGACUGUUAAUUUAUUUUAUUUGGUUUAAUAAAAUGGGCCGGGCAAAUUGGCCUAUUACAAGUGGAGCUAAAAUAUUUCUUAUAUUUGUUUUAUGUUCCAUACAUAUUAAUCUUUCCAUAGUUUAUAGUUACCUCUUCUAAUAAUGUUGUCUCCAAAAUUCGAACCCAAGUUCUCUAAUUUAAGCAGAACAAAAAAUGAAUAAAUCUGGUUAUUAAUGUUGAUAAGGCAUAAAAUAAGAAGAAACUUUCGUUAAUUAAACUUCUUCAAAAUCAUUAUCUUUCCAAAUAUGAUUAGUAGAUCAUACUAGGACUCUUCAAAUAAUAUCAUUUCUUGAUCAAGACUUCAUCAAUCAUAAUAAUGUAUUUUACGGCUCAAAAUCCUCAAAAAGAUGUAAGUGAAUAAUCAAGUUAUUUAAGUCAAAACAUGCCAACAAAUUGUCUUUUGAGUGAUGCUAGACCAACUAAUCUUGUAAAAGAUGGUCCACCGAGAUUUUUUGAAUUGCCUCUCAUUCUUCUUCAGAAAAUAUAGGGUGGCGAAGAUCAUGAUUAGAGGUGUUCAUGGGCCGAUUCAGGUUGAGUUGGGCCGAGCUUAAGCAUGAUAUAUUAACAUACUUUAUGCUUGCCAAAACUCAGCUCGACCCAAAAUAAAUGCUUAAAAUUUUGCUCAAGCCCCUCAUAUUUGUAAGGGCUAGUUCUUCAUUGCUUAAAAAAAACACUUCUGACUCCAAAAGCACUUUUAGAAGAAAAACUGUGCAAAACAAAUUAUUUUUGGCUGAAAUUUUUAGUUUUUCAGAAGUGUUUUUCAAAAGCACUUCUGAAAAGGAGAAGCUAAAAAUUUUAGCUUUUCUUUUCUCAAAAGCACUUUUAGUGCUUAAUUACUUUUUCACCCCUCCAAUAACAUAGUACUUUCCUUUUUUUUUUCUUGGUGCUUAAUUACAAAUGUGUUAAAAUCAUUAAUUAAAAAUAAAAAAAUAUUUUUUUAAAUACUAAUUACAAAUAUUUAAUGGUUAUAUUUAAAUAUUUAAAAUAUAGUUUAUAUAUUCUAAUUAAAUUUUAUAAUUAAUUAAUAUUUAUUGCUUAAAAAUAUUUAAAAUUUAUAUUUCAUAUAUUAAAAUAUUAGCAACAAGUUAUAAUAAUUUUUUUAUAUUCUUACUAAAAUAUAAUAAUAUUAACUAAUUUAAAUAUUAUUUAAAUGCAUAUUUGUUACUUGAUAAUAACAUGUCUAAAAUGGAUAUUUUAUUUCUCAAAAGCAUUGUGCAUUUUUUGACAGCAAUGCUAAACACUCAAAUUUUAAACCAAACUUUUCAAAAGCACUCCUCAAAAGUAUUUUUCCACAGCACUUUUCAAAAGUAUGGCCAAACUAGCCCUAAAUGACUAACCCAAGUCUAUUUUAGGCUCACCCAUAUGAUUGUUUUUAAUUCUAAAAAGUAUACUGUUUCAAUUUAAGAUUUAAUAAUUUUAUAUAAUUUUUUUACUCCUUAAAUCAUACAUAUAUUCAUAUUAACAUUUUUUAAUGUUUGGGUUAUAAUAAUAUUAUAGAUUACUAUAAAUUACAUAAUAUAAUCAAACUUAAGCCUUGAAUAUUCAAGCUUGAGUCUAUUUUUUUCCAAACCACCUAAUACCUUUAACCAAACCCUCUCAUCGUAUGUCAUGUUAAAAUUUUAGCAUGUAAUGGGUGUUAGAUCCUUCUAGAUAUACAAUCUUCCACCAAAAAAGGUUCAUAUGAUUAUUUUAGGACGGAGUUCAUAUCAUGUUACGGGUUAAUAACAUAAGGUAGAAAGCAAGCUUUUGCAUGAAGAUUAAAUCAGAAAAGCAUCCACCCUGCUGCCAAUUCAGGAUUCAUUACAAAUUGGCUUUAAUUAAAAACAAAAAAAACAACUGAUAUAAGCCAUUUCUUUUACAUGAACACAAAAAUUACUACAUUUACUGGUUCUUCAAUGGCCCUGAGGCCUCAAACACUAAAACCUCAAUUGUAGCUACUACGUUUAAGAGAAACGAAACCUUCCCAAACCAACACUGAACUAUGAAACAGUAGGAGUGUUUUUUUUUUUUUCUAGAGCUCUGCUACCGGCCACCACCGUACUACUUCGUAAUAAUAACACUUUCAGAGUUAUGUUUUGUCUACAGGAGGAUUUUCUGGGAUACUCUGCAUGAAUGUAGCUGAUACGUUAAACAGUUACCUAUAACUGAUGAUAUUUGAAAUGUUUUGAAAACGAGUAUAUACCUUCGGCCAAAUGUAAGAAAACACAGGGAGAGCAGCUGUUGAACUAUUUUUACUUGUAUGGGGUGAAAAUGAUCGAUGAGUUAUGCCCGCCAAACCCGAAUGAAUUCGACAAAGCCGCCUUAACGUUCAAUCUUUCUUUAUUUGGCCCCACAAGCACACUUGUGUCCUGGAAAGCAAAAUUGAACCAUGUAGGAAAACCGAGGGAAAAAAACUACAGUAUGUAUGUGUCACAAAGCAAAAACUGAUGAAUGAGAAGGAAGAAACAAGAGAGAGAGAGAGAAGAGGCAACAUACCACUCCUACAUCCGGGUUUUCCAGGUUGAUAUUUGGAUGAACCCAACCAGUUCGUAUUGCCUACAAUUAACAAGACAUUACCAUGUCAAUGUUCAGGUUCCGGAAAAGGGAAAGAAAAUAGGAGAAAGAAGAUAAGAUGCAUGAUUCCUUUCAUCCCUGCUCGUAUCAUAUAGCCACAAAACAGAAAUACAGAGGAAGUAGGGAGAACAAUCUUCUCGAAUAAGAGAACAUAAACAACAAAAAUUCAGCACCGUGCAAAUUCUGUCCAAUCUGCUUCCUAAAUCCAAAAUAAGAACAUAACCAAAAGUCAAAAUUGCAUACCUGUACUGUUGCAACAGCUUCCACAGCACCGGAAGCUCCUAGUAGGUGACCAAUCAUUGAUUUUGUAGAGUUCACCCUUAACUGCAAAUGAUGGAGAUCUUAUCAAUAAUCACAAUGCAUAAAUUUGAAAAACAGAAAUGCAUGGAGAUUCAAUUUUUCAAGAAAAGUAGGUGAAAUUACCUCGGGAUUGUCUCCAAAACAAUGAAGAAGAGCUUGGUAUUCUUUAAUGUCUCCAGUUGGUGUCGAUGUAGCAUGAGCAUUAAUAUAGUUUAUAUCUCCUCUAGAUACACCAGCGUGAGCCAAGGCCUUUUCGAUGCAGAGAAUGACACCAACACCUAUUUUUAAAUUUCACGAGAUGGAUGUUAGUUUAAUUUUUCAUAGAGUAACAUGCACUGCUUCAGAAAGAACAUGUAACAUCGCUAAUUAUAUAAAUGUGGGUUAUCUUCACAGUAGGGAAUACUCGGACAAAGAGGCAUAAGUUGCAAUCUCAUGAUAUUUAUUCUGCUCAAUCACGAAAAUGAAGAAUCUAAUGUCAAGACAUGCAUGUACUCGAUAAUGCCAUGAGCCAAAAAAAAAUUACAUGCUUAUAUAAAUCAUUGUUUCACGGAAAAACAAUAAAGUAAAAGCAGCAAAUUAAGUCUCAACGUCUAUAUUUAGAAAAUAAAUCGGGAUUUAAGAAGAAUUGCGGUUAUACAGAUGUGGCUCAUUACCAUCAGGGUGAGGCUCGGUCAUGUGAUAAGCAUCACAAGUGAAGCUUCCACCAAGGAAUUCUGCAUAGAUAGUCGCACCUCUCCUCUGCAAAAUCAGAAAUCUAAACACGAUAAUUUCCUUUCUACAAAAGAAACUAAGUACAAACCUAUUGCUUACAACAUGGAUUUGUAGGGUUUGAAGACAGUGUACCUUGGCAUGCUCCAAUUCUUCCAAAAGUAGAACCCCAGCACCUUCCCCCAUGACAAAUCCAUCGCGAUUCUGGAAGAAAAAAAUAGAACCACUAUCAAGGUAAAUAGCACGCACGAAGCAAAACAAGGAAAAUUAUGUUCCUUUGAUUAGAAAAUGCUCGAUAAAUAUAUAGUGUAACUUUGUCAAAAAGACCAUGUGCAGAUACAUAUCAUUUGUGAUGUGAGUUGUUAAGAUAUGAUAAACACGUUGAAUACUCGUUCAAAAGGUUAGAAUAGUUGACAUUAAUUACCAUGAAGUUUAAUUCAUAAAUGCAUUCUUGGUUUUACUGGUUUUGUUCUAUGAAGAGGGGAAAAUGAAACAACAGCAAAAGGAAAAAUGAUAGUGAUGAAGCUCAAGAGUUUUCGAAAUAUUACAGCAUCCCAAGGGCGUGAAGCUUUGGUAGGAUCAUUGUUCCUCUGAGAGAGCGCUCUACAAGCCACAAAUCCUCCCAAACCUAAAUGAAAAAAAAACAAUAAAAUAGAGUAUUACAUGCUAUACCAAGCGGAAAGAUUAUAAAACAAUGCUGAAUAAGAAAGUUAGAACAAUAUACCAAUGGGUAUAAUCGCCGCAUCAGAGCCACCACAAAGCAUCAUAUCCUGCAAUUUUGACACAAAUACCGUUGAUAUAGUGCAAUCAAUCAUACAUGAUAUAUUGGAUGUUUUUCUUUGCUAGACUUACAGCUUCGCCUCUAAUGAUAUGGUUUGCUGCGUUUAAUAUGCAAAAGUUGCUUGUAGCACAUGCAGUGGAGAUUGAAUAAUUAGGACCCAUCCAUCCCUGAAGAAAUCAUCAGUUUAAAGCUCAAACUCGAAAUUUUAACAUCCAUCAAGGUCUAUCUUAACAUUGCAGAAUCUAAAUUUAAGCUAACCAAAUCCAUUGCAAGCAUUGCAGAACCCAUAUUUGUUGUAGCAAACGGUACGCAAAAAGGAUUCAUCUUCCUGUAUGAGAUCCUCAAAGCUUCAAUCGCAUCAUUGAAAACCUGUUCAUUCCACAACAAGCAAUGUAUAUGAAUCGAUGGAUAUAGAAAGAAAACUAUAUACCAUGACACUUUCCUUCUUCUAGAAAAAGAUUUUACCUUCAUGCCACCCAUUGCUGAACCAAUCAAAACUCCACAUUUCGUUUUAUCUAACUCCUCCAUUACGUCUUCAUUUACUCCCCCAUCUUGCAAAGCUUUCUUUCCGGCAGUAAGAGAAUAAAGCAUGAAUUUGUCCAUCCUCUUGGAAAGUUUCGGUGCGACCCAUCCAUCAGUUGAGAAAGAUUUGAUCUCUCCAGCAAUCCUCUGGAGAGAAAACAGGAGCAGUAAGAACGAGCAGCAGUACAAACAAGAGCAAAACAAGAGAUCCCAAAGACAACUUACAGUCGGAAACUGAGCGCAGUCAAAAGUCUCGAUUUCACUUAUACCACUAACACCCUCGAGCAGGUUGUUAUAGAAAACAUCAGGCUCAUGUCCAAGCGGAGUUACUACUCCCAUCCCGGUCACAACCACUCGUCUUUGCUUCGUAGGAGGCUUCUUCUUCGUUGUAAUCUCUCUUGUGGGUUGCACAGCUAUAGCCAUGGCUUGUCCUAAGUUUUUUUUAAACAAAUUAAACCGCAGAAUGAACUUAAUUUAGCCGGUAAGUUCUACAAACAACACAUAUAAACAAUCUCAUAUACAUACAAAAAGCCCAAAAUUCUAGAAUGCAAAACAAACAUUUUUCCAUUUUAUAUUGAAAGAAGCAGCAAACCCAUGAAAACAAGACAAUUAAUACUACCAACCUACAACAACUUGUUAAAAAGAGAGAGAGAGAGAAAAGCAGAAUCAAUUAUAUCUAUAAUUUAAUUAUUGCGAAAGAAGUACUAAAGCUUGCACAUGUAUAAUCUGUUUGUAUUAAAUUCAGAUUAGCUGAGGAAAUAAUGAUUUUCCAUGGCUAUGGACUUAAUAAGAACUUAAAAUCAACUAUAUUUCUAGCUCUUAAUUUUGUUUUAAAACAAACAAAAAAAAAUCUUGGUGAAAUUGUACAAGGGAACAUUUAUUAUAUCUCUGUUUUCAUUUCUAGACUUGCUUUCAAGAAAAUCAAUUAAAGAAAAAGAGGCAAAAACAGAGCUCUCUACAGGAAUUAAAAUUCAUAACAAUAAAAAAGAAAAAGAACCCAGAUUUGAAAAAGAAACAUUAUAUGUUACCAGAAUGAUGAGCUCGUCGAUUGAGCCUUUUUUGCUUGCGAUUAUUAUUGAAAGGAACAUUUUUGGAGCCGAAGAAAGAUGAAAAGCUUCCAUUUUGACCGAAAAAGCUACCAUUUUUAGAGGAAUAAUAAUCAUUACAAGGCUCAAAAGCCAAGCAAGAAGCCAUCAAGCCUUGAAUGGUGGAUCCACGGAAGGAAGAAAUCAAGCCCACGUCUUUGUUAGGGGUUGCGCCGCCACCACAGCAUUGAGAAAGGAGAGCCUUCCUUCUAUUACGAGCCCAACGGCCGAGCCCGUUCGAAGAAGCGGAGGCUGAUGAGUUGAACAAUGGAGACCGGGACUGGUCUUUACCGUACGUUACCGACAUACAAGCCGCCACCAGCCAAGUGCAUAAAGGACUUGCCAGUGAUGAAGAUGUCAUCAUCCCCCCAAAAGAAAAAAAACAAAUAAAACUAAAGAUUAUAAGUGAAAAAAAAAGAUUGUAAAGAUUUGGGUCUGGAUAAAGAUAGAGUAUUUAUGUGAGGUUAAUAAAAAUCUAGCAACCCAUCAAUGGAAAAAAAAAGCAAAACAAAAAAUAAAGAUUGAAAUUUUGAUGAAGAAGAAAAUCGAAGUUGCAUUCGAUAUUUUGGGGGAAAAAGCUUUGAAUCUGGGCAAUCUCAGUCGUUUCCUUUUAGACUAAAUGACUGCACUGCCAAGUACUUUUUUUUUUUUAAUUUUUGUUAUUUAAAAUUUAAAAUUUAUUUUUUCUCCUCCUGGUUUCAGCGAGAGUUUCAGUUUGUCUCUCGAAUGAGAAAACCAGAAACAAUUUUUCUUUUCUUUUCUUUUUUAAAAAACGAGGAUCUAUGACCAGAAAAAUUGUUCUUAAUUUAUCAGUGGUAAUUUAAUUUUUUAAUGAUAAAAAAUAGGUUUUCUCAUUGUGCUCUUUUGUAUCAUAAAGGUUUGAAUCGGAGCGGUUAAAUUUGGGAACGGUUGAGAUAUCGAUUCAGAGAAAGGUAUUAAAUUGAUUAAAUUAGAUUAAAAAUUUAUUUUAACUCGAUUUUUAUUUUUUUAGUGAUUUUUAUAUAUAUUCAACAUAUUAUAUAAAACUACAUCUUUUUUAAUAUGAUAGAAAUAAAAAGUAAUUAAAAUUAAAAGGAUAAUGAGAUUUUGACAAUGAUAAAAGAAAUGUUUUAAUUUCUUUCUAAAUCAUGUAUGAAUUUUUAGUUUAAAACUUAUCUCAUUUAAAUUUCACUAUUAUAAAUUUUAUAUUAAAAAUGAAAUAGAAAAAUAAUUUAUAAUUUUUAAGGAUUUAAAAUUGAAAUAAUUACCUCAACUAAAAUUCGGACGUGAUUAGUGUUGGAGGCCCGCACAUAUAAAUGCACGAGAGAGGGAGAGACAGAGAGAGAGAAUGAAUGAAUGAACUAAAAAAGGAAAGCUUUUCGGCUUCAUUAUUCCAUCGUUUACCUCUCCAACUCAAAUAACAAUCAAUCAAUUCAGUGCAAACCUCCAUUCCAAAAGACUCUUUCUAUUCGUAGAGGAAGAUAUGGAAAUUGGGAUAAUAAGUGUGAAAAUUCCCCAAAUCUAUUCAUGCAUGUAGCCAAUAGCUAAGAAGACACGUAGAUUGAGCAUUUGUCCUCCAUUGUCACGACUUCAAUCUACAUUGAAGCCUUUUUAAUCCAAUAGGUAAAUCUCUUCUUCUAAAAACCCUAUUUAACUUGUAAGUGUGUUGCUUGAUUACUUUCUCUCUAAAUGUGCUGAACUCGAAUCUCUGUAAACAUUGCUAGUAACUGUCUUGCUCAAUCUGGUUGUUUACUUGCUAGUUUGCUAAUGAUGAAUAGUGAAUCCCCCUCCAAAAUCAUCGAGUUGAAAAUCAACUCAUUCACAAAUUUGAUCGCCUAAUACCUUACAAGAGCUUCCGUUGCGAACACAUCAGGUAUGUGAUUGUUCCACUCGCAUCAAUCCCAUGAUAAAGUAUUGAGAUUUUGUGCCUUUGGUGUGGCUAUUGUCAUUUAUGCUUAUAUUUUUUCAAGCAUAUUAGUUAAUAAAAUUUCAUGGUUAAAUUAUUUUCUUUUGUAUAUUUGUUCUUAUUGGUUUUUGUACGAAAAGAAAAAUGAACAAAGAAAAUAUUAGCUCAUUGAUUACUUAAUGUUUAACUAAUAUUAAGUUGCAUCAUAUGAUUGGAUUAUGAUGUAACACCUAUGGUAGUAACACCUAAGCUGACUGCAACAUAUGGCAGUCCAUUUCCUAAUGGUUAUUUGUAUCGUAGCAUUAUUGGAACUUUACAGUAUGUAUGUCAACAAACUGAGUCAGUACUUGAAUUCUCCAAAUGAUACUCGCUGGCAGGUAGUGAAGCGUGUGUUGAGAUUUCUUAAUGGAACUUUGGAUCAUAGCUUAUACUUCACCAAAGGUUGUUUUGAAAUGGUCUGUUAUUCUGAUGCUAACUGGGCGUCCACUAUUGAAGACAGACGAUCCACCACAGGUUACUGCAUUUACCCUGGCUCCAAUCCAGUUAAAUGGUGUUCCAAAAAGUAGACUGUUGUUUCUAAAUCCUCCUAAGAAGCAGAAUAUCACAAUCUCGCAAAUUGUAUUAUUGAACUACUAUGGGUGAAGUAGCUGCUAACUGAAGUUGGUGUCCAUCUACAACAUACUCCAGUAGUGUGGUGUGACAACACCUCCACGGUGUCAAUAGUAGCCGAUCCAACUCAUCAUGCUAAAGGUUAAGGUGGAGAUUGAUCAUCACUUUGUCCGAAAGAAAGUUCAUGAUGGUAUCCUGCAUGUCAAUUUUGUGCCCUUAGCAAGCCAAAUUGUAGAAGUUCUCACCAAACCUAUCACUCCAAAGAAGUUUUCUUCCUUUUGAGAUGCCUUACGAGUCCUCCCUUUGAGAAAUAGUCAACCAAAGAGGUCAACACAAAACAGAACAUCGGAAGAAUGUUAGAGUAGUAGCAGUUGAGUAGUUAGUUUGUUAAAGAAAGGUUAAAGAAGUUAGUAGUUAAAGAUAGUUACAGAAGUUAGUUAGCAGCUUAGCACCCUUUGAUAUCAUGUGUAUAAAUACAAAUCAUACAUUUAAUAUGUGUAGAAUUGAAAAAUUAAAUCCAUAUAUUAAAAUUGUAAAAUUUGAAAAUGAAUCAAUCAAAAAAUGAUAGAGAAUCAAUUCGUUCUCAAUGAUUCAACAUGACGAGGCUCGGAUGCCACUUGUAAGAUUCGUAAAACAAGAUCUGAUAUAAACUUAAAAUUGUAAACCAAGAUUUGUCAUGUCAAAUUAUCAAUAAUAAAUCAAGAACAAAAUUAAAUGUGAAAGCAUACCUAAAUCCAUUGAUUUAUUGGAAUCUUGGAUCUUAUGGUCCUGAUCUUCCAAAUUAGCACACAAGUAAUUCAGAGAAUCUGGCUCUCUUUUUUCUAAAGAUUUGAUAUUAGAAAAGUUACGUAUGUGUAAUUUGAGGACUAUAACUCUAACAUAUAGCUUUUGCAUAUUAAUCCUAAUUUCUAAUCAACCCAUCAUCAAUUACAAAUUAGUUACUAGAGUAUCUACACAUAUUUGACCCAUACUUUAUUUAAUAACUAAAUCCCAAUAAACCUUAACUAAAUUAGAUCACUUUUAAUUUGGGCUAAUUUUUUUUAUGAUGGUAAAUAAUAACACGUAAUUACUCUUAUUAUAUAUGUAAUGUCAAUAUUUUCCAAUAGGAGAGGAAUAAAUAUAGUAUUUCUUUUAGAUUUGAAGAUAUGAUGAGAAGAAAUGGUGAUGGUUAGUUAUAGGGGAAUUUUUUGGAGUUGAAAGAAUGAAAGACAUGUAAUGUUUUGGGAGAAAUAGAUUUUUCUGAGACCUCUUAUUGGAUACAUAUUCAUAAUUUACCUUUGAAACCCAGCUCGCGGAGACCUAGGGAAGGUUGCAGUCUCACCUUAUAUAUACCCAAGGAACUCGUAGGAAGUGCCACGUGCUCCACAGGCCACCCAGGCACGCAUUCAGCAGGUACGGAGCUCACCCUGAAUGCUAGUCCCAGGAACAAAAAGGACCCUGUGCUCCAUAGACAUGUGCCCAACAAAUUUGGAGCUCGCAGAGAAUGUCAAUACUAGAGACAUCAGAGUCAAGACAAAAUAGUGGAGUCCUAUCAUGAGCUGUAAUGGCAGCAGUAGCAAAAUGUAUAAAUACUCAGAUACUCGUAUCAAUAAGACACAAGCAAAAUAUUACUCAACAAAUUUUAAUAUUUAUCUUUUAUAUUUGUAAUAGCUUUCUCCUGUGAGAUACACAUGUUAAACUACAAUAGGUUUUUGUGGUCCAAAAAUAAAUGAUAUGUUCUGGUGGUGUAACGUGGUGAGGUCAAGUCACGUCCACUUAUUUUUAAAUUAAUUAAUUAAUUAAAAUCUAUUAAUUUUUUUAUAAACCUUUUGUCGAAACCGUUUUUUUGAAAACAAAAAUUUUAGUUGUCGACUUUUUAAAAAUAAAACUGGAGUCGCCACCGAUCCUUUAUUAAGGUGUGACCGGCCCACCUCAAAAAUCAUUUUGGUCUGCGAAUUUUAAAAACAGGUUCGGGAGUCAGUUACGCACGAGGAAGGGUUAGCACCCUCGUAACGCCCAAAAAUCGGUACCAAAUUGACUAUUUAAUGUCUUUGUGUCGAAAGUUAAAAAAGAUUUUAAAAUAAGCUUGAAUGAUGAAAUUGGCAAAAGGAUAAUCAAUUGUUCAAGUCAUGUAAAGAAAUCGAGUCCCAAUACGUUAGGGUACAAUUCCUCAUAAUCCCCAAACUUGAAUAUCACUUUUAUUUUAUACGAAAAUCUUCAUUUCGAGAAAGUAACAUGCCACACACAAUACGUUAGGGCACAACAAGUUAAGUUCCCAAAAAUGAUUUUUAUGCAUUUUGAAUAAAAAUAUUCUCGGUCAUUUAGGAUUGACAAAGAAAAUCAGAACCCAAUACGUUAGGGCUCAAUUCCCCUCAAAAAUCCCAAACUUCCAAAAAUGCUUUCAUUCAAAACCUUUAAAUCAAAAAAUAACUUUGAUGAAUGGUUAAAACCAAAAUAUAUUUCCAAAAGGGUAUGUUAAAGUUGAUGUAUAAUAUGAAGCAAAAACUUUCAUUUAGAACGUAUAUAAAUACAUAUUUACAAAAUAUAUAUGAGUACAAUAUACAAGUAUGUUCGAAAAUAUGUACAAGCAUGCAUUUAACACGUAAAUACAAGUGUACAUAUAACAAGGAAAGUAAAGAAGUAUAUACAACAAGCUUACAAUAAUUUCUAAGAAUAUGCAUGCAAAACAUAUGUAUGUAUACGUGAAAAUUGCGAAGAUAAAAAAAAAUCAAAAUAUGCAUAUGCAUUAUAAAAUAUAAGUGUAUACACAUAUAUACAUAUAUUUAUUUAUAAAAACUAUGAAAACAAAAUAUUUAUGAAAUAUGAGCGUAUAAGGAUUAAAAUAUGUAUGUAUGCAUAUAUAUAUAUAUAUAUAUAUAUGAAUGUAAAAUUAUGAGAAUAAAAUAAAAUAUAAAACGUGCGGAUGUGUUUAUGUUUAAAAAAAUGUAUAAAUACGUAUAUAUAAAAUAUAAGGUAUAUAAAAAUAUAAAGGAUAAAAAGAUAAAAUAAAGGAAAUAAAAUGUAUGUAAAACGUACAAAAACAUAUGCAUGCAUUUUUAAAGCUUAAGAAUAUAUAUGCUAGUAAUGAAAAUAUGAAAAGAAAAUAAUAAAAGUUAUGCGUUUGUAAAAAAAAACCGAAAUAUAAAACAAUAUGUAUAUACACGUACAUGAAAAUCAUAAAUGGUAUUAGUAUAAUAAUAAGUAAUAAUAGUAAUAACAAACGAGUAACAGUAUAUUUAAAAAAAAUAAAAAACCAAAUAAAGUAAAAAAAACCAAAUUGUACAAAAGACAAAAAAAUGGGGGUAAAUUCAAAAAUAAUAAAAAAAGGAUCAAUUUGAACACGCGAGCGACAAUGGGGGACUAAAAAGGAAAUAAUUCCUUCCCUUCCAAAACGCUGCGCAAUGAGGUAUCAAAUUGAAAUAAAAAUGGAAUACGCGGCCCAAAUUUGAAAACCAGUGGAAAAUGGUUCAAUUGACAUGCGUUGCAAAAGGGAGGGGUUAAAUUCGCAAAUUCCCCAUCUGACGUCAGAACGCGCGGAUCCUCCCCAUCGGGUCGGGUCACCGCGCGGGUCAGGGCCUUAAAAACGACAUAUUUUUUGCAGCGUUAUUUAAAACAAAAUUUCCUUUCAAAAUCAUUUACAACCGAAAAUAAAAAAAACACCCCUCUUUUGCUCUGCUAGGGUUUCACCCCUAGCGUCCUCGUGCCGCCGCCGCAACGCGCCUCCGCCGCGAUUUCACCGAGAAUGGUGAUCGGAAAGGCGAUACGACGGGCUUUUAACUGCCCUUGAGCAGAUUCAAAGUGAAGGUAAACCCCCUUUCUCUUUUUUCUAAUUUUAGUUAUACAAAAACAAUAAAACGUAAAAUGCAAAGGAAAAAAACAGUAGUGGGGUUCACCUUUUUAAAAAACUUGUAUUCUGAGUUUUCUUUUGCCUUUUUUUCUCCUCCUUUUUUACAGAUUUAAAAGGGCCUUUUAUAGGCCGAAAAAAGAAAAUAAAUCGAGGGAAAACAAUAUUGCUCGUUGUUUUUUCUCAUUGGACUCCUUGAGUCCGUUUUUCAGGUGCUCGUGGAGAGUUUGGCACGCGUGGAGGCCGAAACUUGCGGCGAUCGGGCGUUGGGCGCGGCGUGGAUGCUGUUGCGGCGCUGAGGCAGAUGCGGCUAGGGUUUUGUUUUUUGUGUUUUGCUGUGUUGAUCUUUGGGUUUGGGCUGCUUUGUUGGGCUUGUAAAAUGUAGGCCUGUUCAUUUUUGUUUCGGCUUAUUACGUAGGCCCAGGCCGAUUGGGCCUUAUUACACCUUUCAUUUUAAAUUUUAUUAGCAUAAUUUCGAUUUGCUAGUUAUUUUUUAAUAAUGAGAAAAAUAAUAGUUAAGUACGAAGUUAUCUAAUUAUUUUUUAAAGUUUGAAAAUUAUAAUUAUAAUUACAACUAAUAUAUUUUAAAAUCAUUAUAAUCGUAAUUAAAUUAUUGGAUUAAAAAUUAAAAUAAAUCCUAAAUCAUAAUGAAUUUUUAAGAAUGGUUAAUCCUAUUAAAUUUUUUUAUUAAAUUUAGGUUUAUUAUAAUGUCAUUUUUUACAUAAAUUCCAAGUAAGUUUUUUUUUAAAUUUUAAAUUAUCACACCAAUAAAUUUAACAAAUGAAUUUUAACAAUGUUAACAAAUAGACUUACAUUUUUAAACUUAAAAAGUAGAGGGACUAAAUUCCUGAAAGUAAAAGUAUGAAAACUAAAUUCCAAAUAUACGAAUAGUACAAGAAUUUAGAGCAUAUUCCAGUCUUUAAAUUUUUUUUACUUUAUAAUUACUUUGAUUUCUCAAGGUAUCUACCGGAGCGAGUCCAAUAACUAACCCUCCGCAUUCUAUAAGCACAUUAAGGGGUAGAUGUAACACCCCCUACCCGUAUCCGUUGUCGGAAUAGGGCACGAGGCAUUAUCGGAGUUUACUGAAUAUUUUCAAUAAUUCUGAGUCAUUUAUUAUUCAUAUUCUGAAAAUAAUCAUAACGUCCCUCUAUUGGACCCUUAAAGCUCAAAACAUUCAUUAGGAACCUACUGGGAUUAAAUCGGAAUCAUAGGUAAUUUUUCGCAGAAUUCUAAAUAUAUAUAUAUAGAUUUUAAUUUUUUUAUUUUCGAAUUAGGUGCAGGAUUCAUACGGGCGUAUCACAUAACAAAUCUUUUCAUAAGAAAUUUACAUAACUGAAACAUUUCCACUCUUUCAUAAGCUCAAUUAUAUUUUCAUCUAAGCACUUACCAUGCCAAUGCACUUUAUAAUUAAAUAUAUUACCAUUCAACAGUAAUUUGACACUUGCCUAAACUUCAAGCAACAACAUUGGUUAGUGUACUUUAAUAUUGACAAACUUAUUUUCUAGCCAUGUCUCACUUAAAUUUAUUACUUGUCCUAAUACACAUAAUUUUCCUUGUAUCAACGUAUCAAAGAUAGUCUCAUAUUUUCUUAUUGUUUCUUCUUAAAUAUAAAUCAUUCAAUUCAUUAUGACAAUAUUUCAUGUACCAUAAUUUUCUAUAAGUUCAAUGUAUAUUUAUUCCAGUAGCAGUUCAUAAUCUUGAAUAUGCAUAAUUAUCAGGCAAGUUUCACAUACAUGUAUUUUCCAUGUCAUAUUUCAGUAUAUCAAAUAAUUAUCAUUCCUAUGUAUUUCAAGUUUAAUUUCAUGAUUUUAGGUACUUAUCAUUUUCUAUUUUUAUCCUAUUGAAUUUCUCGAAAUUUCGAUGGAUUUUCAGGGGUACACUUUAGUGUACAAACUCGGGUCCGUCAAUUCAUAUUCAUGUGCGCACAUUUUCCAAUUCAGAGAGCACACUCCCGCGAACCUCAUUUCUUACAGCGGGAUUACCAGUCCAGGCUAAAUCCCCUGUAAUAUAAACUCAUAGAGUAUUGUCGGGAUUACCAGUCCAGGCUAAAUUCAGACCCUAAUUCGGAUUACCCGUCCAGGCUAAAUCCAUUUUCCACAUAUUCUUCGGGAGGGCUAUAUCAAGAUCACCCGUCCGGGCUAGAUCCUUUUUACCGUCAAUUCCUUUUCAGAGAUCCAUCGAAUUCUCCUUCCAUUCAACCGGGAUUUCUUCCCUUUUUAUUAAAUAUAUCAAUGUUUCAUCAAUUUUCAUACAAUGAACAUUCAAAUCAUAUUCACAUUGUUGACACCAUUUUUUUGAUGAGAAACAGGUCGACUUGGGUUUUGAAAAAUGAAACGGGAGUCGCCACCAAUCCCUUUUUUAUGAGGUGUGAUUGGAUCACCUCGAAAAGUGGUUGUUUUUAAUAAACGAUUUGAUUUUAUUAAAACAACAAGUUUGGUCCACGAAAUUCAAAAAAAUGGGUUCGGGAGUCAGUUACGUACGAGGAAGGAUUAGCACCCUCGUAACGCCCAGAAAUUGGUACCUAGCUGAUUAGUUAAUGUCUUGAUGUCGAAAAUCGAGAACUUAGAAAAAUUAAGAAUACGAUCCUUGUAUUAAAUAAAAAUUUGGGAAAAGAAGCAUAUUUCACAUUAAUCGAGAAAGAGAAUCAUAUCCAGUAAGUUAGAAUACAAUGUCUCAAAUUCCCGAUACACGAAUGGAAAAUGCUUAUUUAAAAGAUAUUUUAGCCAUCUCGGAUUUAAAAAUGAGAUCACGACCAGUAAGUUAGGACGCGAUUUUUUUCUUAAAAUCCCGAGAUCAUUUAAAACUUGAGUUUAAAAAGAUUCGUCCAUUUAGAUUUAUCGUGAAAAUCGAAACCCAGUAAGUUAGAGUACGAUUUUCUCGAAUCUAAACACGAAAUAUUAUUUAUUCAAAACAAACUUGUUAUAUCGAAUAAAAUGAAAUACGAAAAUCGUAGGAAAAAUACGAAAGCCAAUAAAAUCAUAAUGCACGCAGAAAUGUAAAAAUAAUACGAACAAUAGCGACAAUAUAAUAAAAAUCAUACUUACAAUCAUAUAAAAUAACAAUAUAUAAACAAAUAAAUUAAAACAUUCAUUCAAAAUAAUAAAGAAAAUCAAAUAAACAAACAAACAAAUCAGAUAAAUAAAAUUAUAAAAAAUGUAAAAAGUUGUAUGUAUGUAUGCGGAAAAUAUGAAUCAUAUAUGUAAAUGAGUAUGUAAAUAUAUAUAUAUGUAUAUUAAGAUUAUAAAAUGAAUAAUAAUAUAUAUACAGGUAUAUGUGUAUAUGGACUAAAAUAUAUAAAGUAAUAUAUAUGUAUAUGAAUUUAAAAAGUAUAUAAAAAGGUAUAUUUUAAAUUAAAGAUUGUGUGUAAGUAUGUAUAUAUAUUUAUAAAAAUGAAAAUAUGUAUAUAGAUAUAUGGAUAUGAAUAUAAGUUGUAAAAUAUAUAUAAAGAAAAAUAAGCGUAUAUGUAAGUUAUAAUAUAUAUAUGUAUAUCAUAAAAUAUAUGCACAUGUAUAUAUGUAUAUAUCGAAAUUUGAAUUAAAAAGAUAAUAAUAAUAAUGAUAAUAAUAAUAAUAAUAAUAGGACUAGAUUAAAACUGAACCAAAAUUUCCGGGCUAAAAUAAGAAAUAAAUUAAGGUACGGGAUCGAAUUGUGAUGCGCGCGAAAAAGGGGGGGACCAAAAUGGAAAAUAAGCCAAAGCCUCCCAAAACGCUGCACAGUAAUGGACCGAAUUGAGGCAAAAAUAAAAUUUUGUGGCGAAAUUGCAAAUAUGCGAAAAAUUUCCAUGAAAGCACUACAGAAUCAAAGGGACUAAAUGCGCAAAUUACCCAAUAGUUAAAAACACGCGGAUCCUCCCAUUAGGUCGGGUUACCGCGCGGGUCAGAGACCAAAAUGACGUCGUUUUUGGUCUCUGAACCCAAAGCCCAAACGGUGCCGUUUUGUGGGGUUUUUUAAACCCAAAAUUUUCCCAAAAAUCUCAUUUCCACCCACCAUUUAAAAAAAAAUUCAAAAGACCCUCUGUUUUCUCAAAAGGUCCGGCCCUUGGGUUCUCCUAGCGCCGCCGUUACGCCACCACGGACGGUGGUCGGCCUCGCGCAAAUAGGCACCUUACCCAUCCAUUUCAGGACCUUAUUGAAGGCCAGAUUUACAUGGCCUAAAGAGCCGAGAGGAGAGGCUUUGGAACCCAACUUUUAGGACCGAUCUUCGACGAGAAAUAACCCUCAAUCGGCGCAACCGAACGGCUCUCAGGUGAGUUCCCUUUUUUUUCCUUUCUUUAUUAUAUAUAUAUGUAAAUAAACGAAAAAAGACAAGAAAUAAAAAAUAAAAACGAAGAAGAGUACUCUUAAUCACCUUAAAACUUAGUUUGUAUUUUAUUUCUUUUUUGCUAAUCUCUGUUUUGUUACAAAGAGUACCCCCCCUUUUCUAUUUGAAUGGCUUUUAAAUAGCCAUUUUACAAUUUUCUAUUGUCUCUACUACUGUUUUGUCCUUCUUUGCGUGAUUUUCUUCUUUGCAGGCAAGUGGGGUGAUGGGACGGUGGCAGAAAGCAGGUGAACGGCGGAGUUGGUGGCGGUGGCAGAGGGUAGGUGAUGGGGGCAUUGUAAUUGGGUCUGCUGGUAUGGGUUAGUGUUUAGGUGGGUUAUUGGGUUUGUGGGUAUUGGGUUCUUUUGUUAGUGGGCCGGGCAGAAAUUGGGUUUGUACAGCUGCCCCUCUUUGCUCGUUGUCGUGUAACGAUAACAGAGCAAAGACUAAGAAAGACCAAUUUUUGCCCAGUCUUUGCCGAGUAUUGACUUCUCUUGACGCUUCUUUUCAAGUAACUUUAUUCUAGUCCACUGUGUCUUGUUGCGUCGACCCACUCCACUGUAACUUCCAAAAGACAAAACUUGUAGCUUCAAUCCACUCUAUUGUAGCUUCAGGGGGUAAGGUCCAUCAUUUUGACCCGCUCCACUGCAACUUCGGGGAGAUCGGACUCAUAUCUUCAGCUUGCCCCACUACAACUUCAGGGGGAUAAGAUUCGUGACUUCAACCUGCUUUACUGCAACUUCAGAGAGACAAGGUUUGUGACUUCGCUUCCAUCUAUUCUACUACAACUUUAGGGGAAUAAGAUUAGACAUGAUAAGAAUCACUAUCUUCUGUCCGCUCCGCUACAACUUUAGGGAGACACGCAUUAUUGUUUUCAGUCUGUUCCACUGCAUCUUCAGGGAAAUAAGACUUGAUGCGAUCUACUCUGCUGUAACCUCAGAGAGAUAAGAUCCUUUAUUUUAAUCCGCUCCACUGUAACUUCAGGGAGAUAGGAUAGUGUCUUCGAUCUGCUCCGCUGUAAUCUUAGGGAGAUAAGAUCUCUGGCUUCAAUCUGCUCCACUGUAACCUCAGGGAGAUAAGAUCCGAAAUUCUUUGGUCUAUUCCACUGUAAUCUCAGGGAGAUAAGACCUGAUGUGAUCUUCUCUACUGUAACUUCAGAGAGAUAAGAUCCUUUAAUCCGCUCCAUUGUAAUCUCAAGGAGAUAGGAUUACUAUCUUUGAUCUGCUCCGCUGUAAUCUCAGGGAGAUAAGAUCUGAAAUUCUUUGGUCUGUUCCACUGUAAUCUCAGGGAGAUAAGACCUGUAUAAUAAACCUAAUUAUGCCUAAUGAUUAGGAUGACAUGAUCAAAAUGAAACAAAUGCUCCUAACUAGACAUAUGUGAAUGGUGUUUGCAUGAAUGCAGAAUUUUAUUUUUCCGAGAAUGAUCUCGCUUAGGUUAUCACUACUCGAAGUUUAUCAAGGUUUUGUGACUGAUGUGCUACAACGCCUUCUCGCUUGACUAAUUUUUCUGAAGAAACAUUUAGCCAGACUGUCCCCAUUAUAAACCUCAAAGUUAUAUCCACUGGGACGCCAAAAUUUGUACCAUCAUUCUCUCACAGUAAUCUAAGGGUAGAAAUAUGUGGCUUUUCCUCUGUCCUCUUUUAUCACAAUUCGGAGAUAUAGGAUCUGAACCGUUCUGGUUUCCUACACCAUUCUCAAGGUGUCGUACCAAAGUCUUAUGCGCAAGUGAAGGCUCUCUUCUCCGAGGUAACCUCUUCCUAUUGCCUGAUGAUCAUUGCUUGCUUGUUCAUUUAAGCUUUGUAAUUAACACGACAGCUUGUCAUUUUGUUCAAUCAAUGUUUAGACGAAAAAAUCUGAAAGGAUAGUCUUUAACUUAGACUCUUCCUUCCUAGCUAUUUCACCCUUUAAACUUGGUAUUUUCUAAACAAUAGUCAUGUUUCAGGUCCCUAUAUUAUUUAGAAAUUUUCCAAAGUAAUGUGCAAAACUUCUUUCCUGAAAGUUUUAUUAGUUCGUUAAUCAUUAUUCCUAUGCAACAUGUUUGCAAAAAGAUCAUAACAAUGGAUAAGAAUAAAGCUAGCUCUGAUCAUAAUUCAAAUAAAACAUCAAAGAUGGCGAAAGAAAGGUAACAAAGAAGUGGAUUGAGAAUGUGCGUUUUCACAAAAGGAAAGGAAGAAAGAAAAUAAAAAAAUGUAUUUUCAAGAAUACACAUAAGAACUAGGUGCCCCAGUUAUCGCCGCUUGAGUUUCUCUGUACAAACUUUCCGAAGGCCCUUCUGAGUUUGACAUGUGUUCAGGAGAUCUGCAAUACUCUGUCAAUGUUCCAAGACGUUGCAUAUCCUUCCUUAUUGGUAAAGCAAGAUCAUCAUAUGCCCCUGAUCAAAAUUUGAUCCACUCAAGUCCUGAUGUUCCAAUCCUGCCCAAUACUUGAGUCGCCCUUUUCGGGUUUUCGACUCAAGCCCAUCUUUGGUCUCAAAGUGCCCUUUACGGGUUUUCACCUUAGCCUCUCCAAAGUCCCCUUUUUUUUUUAGGAAGCAAAGCGCCCUUUACGGGUUUUCACUUUGGUUCCCCUUUCUUUCAAGUGAAGUAUUUCUUGACGGAGUCUGCGUUUACAGGAUUUGGUAAACUUUUGCCAUCCAUCUCGCAUAGGAUCAAAGCUCCACCGGAAAAGGCCUUCUUUACAACAUAAGGGCCUUCCCAAUUUGGCAUCCAUUUUCCUCUAAAAUCUUUUUGCAUAGGAAGAAUCUUUUUUAGUACCAAGUCCCCUUCACGAAAUUCUCGGGGGCGAACCUUUUUAUUAUAGGCUCGCAUCAUUCGUUUCUGGUACAUUUGCCCAUGGUGAAUAGCUCUUAGCCUCUUUUCUUCUAUUAGGUUCAACUGAUCGUACCGAGAUUGGAUCCAAUCGGCUUCAUCCAACUGUAGCUCAGAUAACACCUGUAGAGAAGGGAUUUCAACUUCAAUGGGUAAUACUGCCUCCAUUCCAUAAACCAGAGAAAAAGGCGUUGCCCCAGUAGAAGUUCUAACAGAUGUUCGA